rnacentral:rRNA from 1 species
AGUGGCGAACGGGUGAGUAAUGUAUGGGAACGUGCCUAGUAGCGGGGGAUAACUACGCGAAAGCGUAGCUAAUACCGCAUACGCCCUACGGGGGAAAGCAGGGGAUCGCAAGACCUUGCACUAUUAGAGCGGCCGAUAUCGGAUUAGCUAGUUGGUGGGGUAACGGCUCACCAAGGCGACGAUCCGUAGCUGGUUUGAGAGGACGACCAGCCACACUGGGACUGAGACACGGCCCAGACUCCUACGGGAGGCAGCAGUGGGGAAUUUUGGACAAUGGGGGAAACCCUGAUCCAGCCAUCCCGCGUGUGCGAUGAAGGCCUUCGGGUUGUAAAGCACUUUUGGCAGGAAAGAAACGUCAUGGGCUAAUACCCCGUGAAACUGACGGUACUAGCAGAAUAAGCACAGGCUAAC